rnacentral:tmRNA from 1 species
GGGGGUGAUACGGCUUCGACGGAGUUACUCAAACGAGGCUGCAAGCGGAGCGUCUGCCAUCUCCAUAAACUGGCGGAAAAACAAUAACUGCGAACACUGCGGAUUACGCAUUCGCUGCUCCUUCCCUAAACUAGGGGAGGCCGUCUGACGGGGAGCCUCGCCGGCCCCGGAAAGGCGUCGACUAAGGCGGGUAUAUCGCGUUCGGGCGCUUCCCCCGGCGCGACGAACCUCGGGAAGCUGGGUUCGGGCCAUCCCGCCCGUGGGAGGGCCGGUUCCGAGAUGAAAACGCGGGUCUAAGCUUGUAGACGCCGAGUGGCUGUAUCUCCGGACGCGGGUUCGACUCCCGCCACCUCCACCA